rnacentral:rRNA from 1 species
GUCGAGGGGUAUAGGGUGCUUGCACUUUAGAGACCGGCGGACGGGUGCGUAACGCGUAUGCAAUCUACCUUGUACAGGGGGAUAGCCCGGGGAAAUUCGGAUUAAUACUCCAUAAUAUAAUAGGAUGGCAUCAUUUUAUUAUUAAAGUUGUAAAAUGGUACAAGAUGAGCAUGCGUCCCAUUAGCUAGUUGGUAGGGUAACGGCUUACCAAGGCGAUGAUGGGUAGGGGUCCUGAGAGGGAUGUCCCCCACACUGGUACUGAGACACGGACCAGACUCCUACGGGAGGCAGCAGUGAGGAAUAUUGGUCAAUGGGCGGAAGCCUGAACCAGCCAUGCCGCGUGCAGGAAGAAGGUUCUAUGGAUUGUAAACUGCUUUUAUACAGGAAGAAAUGGUCUCUUGCGAGGGAUUUUGACGGUACUGUAGGAAUAAGGAUCGGCUAACUCCGUGCCAGCAGCCGCGGUAAUACGGAGGAUCCGAGCGUUAUCCGGAAUUAUUGGGUUUAAAGGGUUCGUAGGCGGGCUUAUAAGUCAGUGGUGAAAUUUCGAGGCUCAACCUCGAAAUUGCCGUUGAUACUGUUGGUCUUGAAUAUUUGUGAGGUAGUUAGAAUAUGUAGUGUAGCGGUGAAAUGCUUAGAUAUUACAUGGAAUACCGAUUGCGA